ensembl:lncRNA
CUGAAAACAGCAGGCCUUGUUAUCUGGUAGCAGGCUGAAAACAGCAGGCCUUGUUGUCUGGUAGCAGGCUGAAAACAGCAGGCCUUGUUGUCUGGUAGCAGGCUGAAAACAGCAGGCCUUGUUGUCCGGUAGCAGGCUGAAAACAGCAGGCCUUGUUGUCCGGUAGCAGGCUGAAAACAGCAGGCAUUGUUGUCCGGUAGCAGGCUGAAAACAGCAAGCCUUGUUGUCCGGUAGCAGGCUGAAAACAGCAGGCAUUGUUGUCCGGUAGCAGGCUGAAAACAGCAAGCCUUGUUGUCCGGUAGCAGGCUGAAAACAGCAGGCAUUGUUGUCUGGUAGCAGGCUGAAAACAGCA